GUGUAGCAAUACAUCAGCGGCGGACGGGUGCGUAACGCGUGAACAAUCUGUCCCGGACAGGGGGAUAACGUCUGGAAACAGGCGCUAAUACCGCAUAAGACCACGAUUCGGCAUCGAGUUGGGGUAAAAGCUAUGGCGGUUCGGGGUGAGUUCGCGUCCCAUUAGAUAGUUGGUAGGGUAACGGCCUACCAAGUCUAGGAUGGGUAGCCGAUCUGAGAGGAUGGUCGGCCACACUGGAACUGAGAAACGGUCCAGACUCCUACGGGAGGCAGCAGUGGGGAAUAUUGGUCAAUGGGGGAAACCCUGAACCAGCGACGCCGCGUGAGGGAAGAAGGUCUUCGGAUCGUAAACCUCUGUCCCAUGUGAAGAGAAGUAGACGGUAGCAUGGGAGGAAGCCUCGGCUAACUACGUGCCAGCAGCCGCGGUAAUACGUAGGGGGCGAGCGUUGUCCGGAAUGACUGGGCGUAAAGGGCGCGUAGGCGGCUUUAUAAGUCUUGCGUGGAAGUCCUUCUUUCAAGGAGGGAAUUGCGUAGGAGACUGUAGGGCUUGAGUGUGGGAGAGGAUAGCGGAAUUCCCGGUGUAGCGGUGAAAUGCGUAGAGAUCGGGAGGAACACCAGUGGCGAAGGCGGCUAUCUGGACCAAGACUGACGCUGAGGCGCGAAAGCGUGGGGAGCAAAC
rnacentral:rRNA from 1 species